rnacentral:rRNA from 1 species
AUUGAACGCUGGCGGCAGGCCUAACACAUGCAAGUCGAACGAGUGGCGGACGGGUGAGUAAUGUCUGGGAAACUGCCUGAUGGAGGGGGAUAACUACUGGAAACGGUAGCUAAUACCGCAUACCAUCGGAGGUGCCCAGAUGGGUUUAGCUAGGAGGUGGGGGAAAGGCUCACCUAGGCGAGGAUCCCUAGCUGGUCUGAGAGGAGUACCAGCCACACUGGAACUGAGACACGUGCCAGACUCCUACGGGUGGCAGCAGUGGGGAAUAGUGCACAAUGGGCGCAAUCCUGAUGCAGCCAUGCCGCGUAUAUGAAGAAGGCCUUCGGGUUGUAAAGUACUUUCAGCGGGGAGGCUUUACCCGCAGAAGAAGCACCGGCUAACUCCGUGCCAGCAGCCGCGGUAAUAC